CUUUAAGUGAAUAUUGAUCACCACCUGUUUUUAAUUGGCCUCAUUUGAUACGUGAGAAUAAACAAAGCAAGCAAUGUGGGUGAAACCGAUCAGAAAGCGUGGCAGUUACCUCGCCUAGAUACAUUGGCGACCUGUCCAAGUUGUACACGACCCGUCUCUCGCCCAGUGCAUGCUGGGAUACACUGUUGAAUCCACGCAGCCCCAGGCGACUUGGUUCAAGGUACGUGUAAACAGAUUUGCUCCCGGCUGGCGGUCUGACCCGGGUCCUCCUCCUGUGACCCCGUGGAUGAUUGCUGUGACUGAGACGUGUUUGAUCCCUGCGCUGAUGCUGGGCUUCUGAUGGCCGCCCCACUUUGAUGCCGCGGCGAGAUUGAAUCCGACCACCCCCUGCGACACACACACACACACACCGUCGGCCAAAUCGCACCAUCAGACCUUGUAUCUAAACAGGAGGUGCGAUUUCCUCCUUCUCCCUUUGAUCCGGAGCAUUGAUAUUUUUCUGAAGGUCUGCUCCCACCCUUUAAUGCCUUGUGAGGAGGGAUCUGCUACGGAGCUACAGCCCUCAAACCUCAGACAUAUUAUAUUUUAUCGUGUAACUAUUUUUUAAAAUUCCUGAUGACAUAAAUUUGUCUCCCCCUGAGAACAAUUGAUGCAGUCCUUUCUUUUACUCAGAGGAGGUACAGAGAAGUCGUG
rnacentral:lncRNA from 1 species